AGUGGGGAAUAUUGCACAAUGGGCGCAAGCCUGAUGCAGCAACGCCGCGUGAGCGAUGAAGGCCUUCGGGUCGUAAAGCUCUGUCCUAAGGGAAGAAUAAAUGACGGUACCUUAGGAGGAAGCACCGGCUAACUACGUGCCAGCAGCCGCGGUAAUACGUAGGGGGCAAGCGUUAUCCGGAAUCACUGGGCGUAAAGGGUGCGUAGGCGGCCAAUCAAGUCUGGGGUGAAAGGCUACGGCUUAACCGUAGUAAGCCUUGGAAACUGGUUGGCUUGAGUGCAGGAGAGGAGAGUGGAAUUCCUAGUGUAGUGGUGAAAUGCGUAGAUAUUAGGAGGAACGCCAGUGGCGAAGGCGACUCUCUGGACUGUAACUGACGCUGAGGCACGAAAGCGUGGGGAGCAAACAGGAUUAGAUACCCUGGUAGUCCACGCUGUAAACGAU
rnacentral:rRNA from 1 species